rnacentral:rRNA from 1 species
UACGUAGGGUGCAAGCGUUAAUCGGAAUUACUGGGCGUAAAGCGUGCGCAGGCGGCUAUGUAAGUCAGAUGUGAAAUCCCCGGGCUCAACCUGGGAACUGCAUUUGUGACUGCAUAGCUAGAGUACGGUAGAGGGGGAUGGAAUUCCGCGUGUAGCAGUGAAAUGCGUAGAUAUGCGGAGGAACACCGAUGGCGAAGGCAAUCCCCUGGACCUGUACUGACGCUCAUGCACGAAAGCGUGGGGAGCAAACAGG